GAUGAAGAACGCAGCGAAAUGCGAUAAGUAAUGCGAAUUGCAGAAUUCAGUGAAUCAUCGAAUCUUUGAACGCACAUUGCGCCCGCCAGUAUUCUGGCGGGCAUGCCUGUCUGAGCGUCGUUUCGACCCUCGCGCCCGGCUUCUGUCGGGGGCGGUGUUGGGGAUCGGCCACACCCUUCAGUGGGAGGCCGGCCCCUAAAUUCAGUGGCGACCACGCUGUAGCCUCCCCUGCGUAGUACUAAAACCACCUCGCAGGCGGAGAGCGGUGCGGCCCGCCGUAAAACCCCCCAACUUUUACAAGGUCGACCUCAGAUCAGGUAGGAAUACCCGCUGAACUUAAGCAUAUCAAUAAGCGGAGG
rnacentral:misc_RNA from 1 species